UACGUAGGGUGCGAGCGUUUAAUCGGAAUUACUGGGCGUAAAGCGUGCGCAGGCGGCUAUUUAAGCUUGCUGUGAAAGCCCCGGGCUUAACCUGGGAACUGCAGUGAGGACUGGAUGGCUGGAGUGUGGCAGAGGGGGGUGGAAUUCCACGUGUAGCAGUGAAAUGCGUAGAGAUGUGGAGGAACACCAAUUGCGAAGGCAGCUCGCUGGGACGUUACUGACGCUGAGACGCGAAAGCGUGGGGAGCAAACAGG
rnacentral:rRNA from 1 species